GCCGGGCGCGGUGGCGCACGCCUGUAAUCCCAGCGACUCCGGAGGCUGAGGCAGGAGGAUCGCUAGUUCAGAGCCUGCACAUU
rnacentral:sRNA from 1 species